rnacentral:rRNA from 1 species
AGAGUUUGAUCCUGGCUCAGGAUGGACGCUGGCGGCGUGCUUAACACAUGCAAGUCGAACGAACCUUCGGGUUAGUGGCGGACGGGUGAGUAACGCGUGAGAAUCUGCCCUCAGGAGGGGGAUAACGGUUGGAAACGACCGCUAAUACCCCAUAUGCCUACUGGUGAAACGAAUUUCGCCUGAGGAUGAGCUCGCGUCUGAUUAGCUAGUUGGUGAGGUAAUGGCUCACCAAGGCUUCGAUCAGUAGCUGGUCUGAGAGGAUGAUCAGCCACACUGGGACUGAGACACGGCCCAGACUCCUACGGGAGGCAGCAGUGGGGAAUUUUCCGCAAUGGGCGAAAGCCUGACGGAGCAACGCCGCGUGAGGGACGAAGGCCUCUGGGCUGUAAACCUCUUUUCUCAAGGAAGAAGAUAUGACGGUACUUGAGGAAUAAGCCACGGCUAAUUCCGUGCCAGCAGCCGCGGU